UGGGGAAUAUUGGACAAUGGGGGAAAGCCUGAUCCAGCCAUGCCGCGUGUGUGAAGAAGGUCUUCGGAUUGUAAAGCACUUUAAGUUGGGAGGAAGGGCAGUAAGCGAAUACCUUGCUGUUUUGACGUUACCGACAGAAUAAGCACCGGCUAACUCUGUGCCAGCAGCCGCGGUAAUACAGAGGGUGCAAGCGUUAAUCGGAAUUACUGGGCGUAAAGCGCGCGUAGGUGGUUCGUUAAGUUGAAUGUGAAAGCCCCGGGCUCAACCUGGGAACUGCAUCCAAAACUGGCGAGCUAGAGUAGGGCAGAGGGUGGUGGAAUUUCCUGUGUAGCGGUGAAAUGCGUAGAUAUAGGAAGGAACACCAGUGGCGAAGGCGACCACCUGGGCUCAUACUGACACUGAGGUGCGAAAGCGUGGGGAGCAAACAGG
rnacentral:rRNA from 1 species